GACAGAGGGUGCAAACGUUGUUCGGAUUUACUGGGCGUAAAGCGUGUGUAGGCGGCUUGGCAAGUUGGAUGUGAAAGCCCACGGCUCAACCGUGGAAGCGCAUCCAAAACUGCUUCGCUCGAGUCUCGGAGAGGAAGGUGGAAUGCUUGGUGUAGAGGUGAAAUUCGUAGAUAUUCGGAGGAACACCAGUGGCGAAGGCGACUCACUGGACACAUAUUGACGCUGAGGUGCGAAAGCGUGGGGAGCAAACAGG
rnacentral:rRNA from 1 species